CGGUCCCAUCAGAGGGGGAUAACAUCCGGAAACGGAAUGCUAAAACCGCAUAGGUCUUCGAGCUGCAUGGCUUGAAGAGGAAAAGAGGCGCAAGCUUCUGCUGAUGGAUGGGCCCGCGGUGCAUUAGCUAGUUGGUGAGGUAACGGCUCACCAAGGCCGUGAUGCAUAGCCGACCUGAGAGGGUGAUCGGCCACAUUGGGACUGAGACACGGCCCAA
rnacentral:rRNA from 1 species